UACGAGGGGCUAGCGUUGUUCGGAAUUACUGGGCGUAAAGGCGCACGUAGGCGGAUAUUUAAGUCAGGGGUGAAAUCCAGAGCUCACUCUGGAACUGCCUUUGAUACUGGGUAUCUCGAGUAUGGAAGAGGUGAGUGGAAUUCCGAGUGAUAGAGGUGAAAUUACGUAGAUAUUCGGAGGAACACCAGUGGCGAAGGCGGCUCACUGGUCCAUUACUGACGCUGAGGCACGAAAGCGUGGGGGAGCAAACAGG
rnacentral:rRNA from 1 species